CCUACGGGUAGCAGCAGUGAGGAAUAUUGGUCAAUGGACGCAAGUCUGAACCAGCCAUGCCGCGUGCAGGAAGACGGCUCUAUGAGUUGUAAACUGCUUUUGUACGAGGGUAAACGCAGUUACGUGUAUCUGUCUGCAUGUAUCGUACGAAUAAGGACCGGCUAACUCCGUGCCAGCAGCCGCGGUAAUACGGAGGAUUCAAGCGUUAUCCGGAUUUAUUGGGUUUAAAGGGUGCGUAGGCGGAUUUUGAAGCCUGCGGUAAAAUGUCCGGGCUCAACCCGGGCCUGCAGUUGGAACUGGGGAGCUUGAGUGGGCGAGAAGUAUGCGGAAUGCGUGGUGUAGCGGUGAAAUGCAUAGAUAUCACGCAGAACCCCGAUUGCGAAGGCAGCAUACCGCAGCCCGACUGACGCUGAGGCACGAAAGCGUGGGGAUCGAACAGGAUUAGAUACCCUUGUAGUC
rnacentral:rRNA from 1 species